GCAGCACGGAGCUUGCUCUGGUGGCGAGUGGCGAACGGGUGAGUAAUAUAUCGGAACGUACCCUGGAGUGGGGGAUAACGUAGCGAAAGUUACGCUAAUACCGCAUACGAUCUAAGGAUGAAAGUGGGGGAUUCGCAAGAACCUCAUGCUCGUGGAGCGGCCGAUAUCUGAUUAGCUAGUUGGUAGGGUAAAAGCCUACCAAGGCAUCGAUCAGUAGCUGGUCUGAGAGGACGACCAGCCACACUGGAACUGAGACACGGUCCAGACUCCUACGGGAGGCAGCAGUGGGGAAUUUUGGACAAUGGGCGCAAGCCUGAUCCAGCAAUGCCGCGUGAGUGAAGAAGGCCUUCGGGUUGUAAAGCUCUUUUGUCAGGGAAGAAACGGUGGGAGCUAAUAUCUCCUGCUAAUGACGGUACCUGAAGAAUAAGCACCGGCUAACUACGUGCCAGCAGCCGCGGUAAUACGUAGGGUGCAAGCGUUAAUCGGAAUUACUGGGCGUAAAGCGUGCGCAGGCGGUUUUGUAAGUCUGAUGUGAAAUCCCCGGGCUCAACCUGGGAAUUGCAUUGGAGACUGCAAGGCUAGAAUCUGGCAGAGGGGGGUAGAAUUCCACGUGUAGCAGUGAAAUGCGUAGAUAUGUGGAGGAACACCGAUGGC
rnacentral:rRNA from 1 species